CUCAGAUUGAACGCUGGCGGCAGGCCUAACACAUGCAAGUCGAGCGGUAGAGAGAAGCUUGCUUCUCUUGAGAGCGGCGGACGGGUGAGUAAUGCCUAGGAAUCUGCCUGGUAGUGGGGGAUAACGUUCGGAAACGAACGCUAAUACCGCAUACGUCCUACGGGAGAAAGCAGGGGACCUUCGGGCCUUGCGCUAUCAGAUGAGCCUAGGUCGGAUUAGCUAGUUGGUGAGGUAAUGGCUCACCAAGGCGACGAUCCGUAACUGGUCUGAGAGGAUGAUCAGUCACACUGGAACUGAGACACGGUCCAGACUCCUACGGGAGGCAGCAGUGGGGAAUAUUGGACAAUGGGCGAAAGCCUGAUCCAGCCAUGCCGCGUGUGUGAAGAAGGUCUUCGGAUUGUAAAGCACUUUAAGUUGGGAGGAAGGGCAGUUACCUAAUACGUGAUUGUUUUGACGUUACCGACAGAAUAAGCACCGGCUAACUCUGUGCCAGCAGCCGCGGUAAUACAGAGGGUGCAAGCGUUAAUCGGAAUUACUGGGCGUAAAGCGCGCGUAGGUGGUUUGUUAAGUUGGAUGUGAAAUCCCCGGGCUCAACCUGGGAACUGCAUUCAAAACUGACUGACUAGAGUAUGGUAGAGGGUGGUGGAAUUUCCUGUGUAGCGGUGAAAUGCGUAGAUAUAGGAAGGAACACCAGUGGCGAAGGCGACCACCUGGACUAAUAC
rnacentral:rRNA from 1 species